UGGGGAAUAUUGCGCAAUGGGGGAAACCCUGACGCAGCGACGCCGCGUUCGGGAUGAAGGCCUUCGGGUUGUAAACCGCUUUUGAUUGGGAGCAAGCUUUCGGGUGAGUGUACCUUUCGAAUAAGCGCCGGCUAACUACGUGCCAGCAGCCGCGGUAAUACGUAGGGCGCAAGCGUUAUCCGGAAUUAUUGGGCGUAAAGCGAGCGCAGGCGGUCAAUUACGUCUGAUGUGAAAGCCCCCGGCUCAACCGGGGAGGGUCAUUGGAAACUGGUUGACUUGAGUGCAGAAGAGGAGAGUGGAAUUCCAUGUGUAGCGGUGAAAUGCGUAGAUAUAUGGAGGAACACCGGUGGCGAAGGCGACUCUCUGGUCUGGAACUGACGCUGAGGCUCGAAAGCGUGGGUAGCAAACAGG
rnacentral:rRNA from 1 species